CCUACGGGUGGCAGCAGUGGGGAAUAUUGCACAAUGGGCGCAAGCCUGAUGCAGCCAUGCCGCGUGUGUGAAGAAGGCCUUCGGGUUGUAAAGCACUUUCAGCGGGGAGGAAGGCGGUGAGGUUAAUAACCUCAUCGAUUGACGUUACCCGCAGAAGAAGCACCGGCUAACUCCGUGCCAGCAGCCGCGGUAAUACGGAGGGUGCAAGCGUUAAUCGGAAUUACUGGGCGUAAAGCGCACGCAGGCGGUCUGUCAAGUCGGAUGUGGAAUCCCCGGGCUCAACCUGGGAACUGCAUUCGAAACUGGCAGGCUAGAGUCUUGUAGAGGGGGGUAGAAUUCCAGGUGUAGCGGUGAAAUGCGUAGAGAUCUGGAGGAAUACCGGUGGCGAAGGCGGCCUCCUGGACAAAGACUGACGCUCAGGUGCGAAAGCGUGGGGAGCAAACAGGAUUAGAUACCCGGGUAGUC
rnacentral:rRNA from 1 species